rnacentral:rRNA from 1 species
GACGAACGCUGGCGGCGUGCUUAACACAUGCAAGUCGAACGGAAAGGCCCCUUUGGGGGUCCUCGAGUGGAGAACGGGUGAGUAACACGUGAGUAACCUGCCCUUGACUUCGGGAUAACUUCAGGAAACUGGGGCUAAUACCGGAUAGGAAUCCUUGCUGCAUGGUGGGGGUUGGAAAGCUUCGGCGGUUUUGGAUGGACUCGCGGCUUAUCCGCUUGUUGGUGGGGUAGUGGCUUACCAAGGCUUUGACGGGUAGCCGGCCUGAGAGGGCGACCGGCCACAUUGGGACUGGGAUACGGCCCAGACUCCUACGGGAGGCAGCAGGGGGGAAUAUUGCACAAUGGGCGGGAGCCUGAUGCAGAAACGCCGCGGGCGGGAUGACGGCCUUCGGGUUGUAAACCGCUUUCAGCAGGGGCGAAGCUUGUGGUGACGGUAUCUGCAGAAGAAGCACCGGCUAACUACGUG